AGAGUUUGAUCCUGGCUCAGGACGAACGCUGGCGGCGUGCUUAACACAUGCAAGUCGAACGAAAAUACCAAGCUUGCUUGGUUGAUUAGUGGCGAACGGGUGAGUAACACGUGAGUAACCUGCCCCUUACUUUCCUGGAUAACUGCUCGAAAGGGUAGCUAAUACGGGAUAUUCUGACCAUCCUGCAUGGGUUGGUUUGGAAAGGUUGUUUUUCUGGUAAGGGAUGGGCUCGCGGCCUAUCAGCUUGUUGGUGGGGUGAUGGCCUACCAAGGCUUUGACGGGUAGCCGGCCUGAGAGGGUGGACGGUCACACUGGGACUGAGAUACGGCCCAGACUCCUACGGGAGGCAGCAGUGGGGAAUAUUGCACAAUGGGCGCAAGCCUGAUGCAGCGACGCCGCGUGAGGGAUGAAGGCCUUCGGGUUGUAAACCUCUUUCGUCAGGGAACAAGGCACUGCUUUUUUGGUGGUGUUGAGGGUACCUGGAUAAGAAGCGCCGGCUAACUACGUGCCAGCAGCCGCGGUAAUACGUAGGGCGCAAGCGUUGUCCGGAAUUAUUGGGCGUAAAGAGCUCGUAGGCGGCUGGUCGCGUCUGUCGUGAAAACUUCCGGCUCAACCGGGGGCUUGCGGUGGGUACGGGCCGGCUAGAGUGCGGUAGGGGUAACUGGAACUCCUGGUGUAGCGGUGGAAUGCGCAGAUAUCAGGAAGAACACCGAUGGCGAAGGCAGGUUACUGGGCCGUUACUGACGCUGAGGAGCGAAAGCGUGGGGAGCGAACAGGAUUAGAUACCCUGGUAGUCCACGCCGUAAACGUUGGGCACUAGGUGUGAGGCUCCUUUCCGGGGGUUUUGCGCCGUAGCUAACGCAUUAAGUGCCCCGCCUGGGGAGUACGGCCGCAAGGCUAAAACUCAAAGGAAUUGACGGGGGCCCGCACAAGCGGCGGAGCA
rnacentral:rRNA from 1 species